CUUAUGGUGGCUUCGUAAAGAAGCUGAAAAGGGAAGUUUGGUGAAAAUCCAACGCGGUCCCGCCACUGUGAAGAGGAGGCACAUAGAAUAAUCACUGUUUUUGAACGGGAAGGACUAUGUGUUGAUGAACCUGAGCCAGGAGACCUGCCAUAAGG
rnacentral:ncRNA from 1 species